rnacentral:lncRNA from 13 species
AGUUAAUUAAUAUUUUAAAUGAACAAUAACAAAAUAAUUUAAUGGAAACAAAUUAUUUUUUUAUUUCUGCAUGGCUAUAAUUGUUUGAACGCAAGCAUAAUCGAGACCUUUCACUCGAUUGCUUGAAUUCCGCGAUACACAGAGCGCGCGCAUCACGUCUUUACUGUAUACAACAGCUUCGUGUGUGUUACAUGUGAAUAUUCCGACUUGAAAAUAAACGAAGGAAAGAAACGACAAGCAAAUAAAUUUUGACCAGAAAGUGAAGCUAUAGCGAACCUGAAAGCAGUUUUAUCACAAUGACUGAUUUAGCAAUAAUUGAAUGCUGUUGGAAUAGACAAUUUCGGCGAAAUAGAUGUCCUGUUCUGGAAUGAAAUUGAAACAGCAUUGGAAACGAAGAUUCUAAUAUACUUAAAAAAUUUGUUGACUUUAACUGGAUUUGAUAAUGGGUUAUCUUUAUGUUCCUUCUCGGAAGAAAAUAUAAAAGAAUUGGAAGAAUUUGGAAAAACCGAUAUGGAAUAUUGUCGUGAUAAACAAAAACCUGCACAACAUUAUUAUGGCUUGUAUGCUAAAUGCCCAUCCUCAUUCAAGAUUCCAUCAGGCCAUAAAAUUUUGUUACUUGCUAUAGUCAAACAUUUUCAGCAAAAAGUUAGAGCCCAAAGUAAUGCAACAAAGCAAUCGAAACCCAAAAACCUAGAUUGUUCGGUUUCUAUAUCAGUUGAGAAUGAGUUGAGAAUGAGAAUGAGUUUCUAUAUCAGAAGAGAAUGAGAAAAGUGUUACAAACGACAAUAUUGAUCUGAACAAAGAUAGAAUGCUAGUGUCCAAAUUAAUAAUAAAUUGUAUAAAAUCGUUUACUGUUGCCAACAACAUUAAACUAAAAAAAUACGAAAAUGAAAAACUUGCAGUACUUAAUAUUACUGUCAAAAUUAAUGAUAACAAUAAUGUUUCUCAACAAGAGCUUCAACCACUUUCUACGCAAGUUGAUUGCAUUUUUUGUUCUAUACCGCAAACUGUGGGUAAAUUUUCAAAUAGGUGGAUAAUAUCAAAUUACCAAAGACAUUUAAAACGUUGUCAUACCAAUACCUCUAAAACAAAAAUGAUACAUGAACCAAAUGUUAAUUCUCCCCUGGUUCAGAUGUGGAACAAAAGCACUAAAAUUAUCUCUAAUAAAGAUUUAGAAAAUAUAACUAUUGAUGCGGAUCCUUCUUUACUACUUGGCUAUUCUUAUGAUGACGGAAAAGAUUCAGAAGAUGUUGAUACAAGAAAGAGAAAAAUCGUCAGCACGGUGGCAACUGUCGUUCAAGUGCAGCAGAAAAUUUUGCCGAGAAAGACAUUGUCUCAGAAGCUACAAAAUCUUCUACUUC